AAACCAGCACCUCAAGUGGUCAGGAUGAUUAUUGGGCCUAAAGCAUCCGUAGCCUGCUCUGUAAGGUUUCGGUUAAAUCUGUACGCUCAACGUACAGGCCGCCGGGAAUACUGCACACCUAGGGAGUGGGAGAGGUAGACGGUACUCGGUAGGAAGGGGUAAAAUCCUUUGAUCUAUUGAUGACCACCUGUGGCGAAGGCGGUCUACCAGAACACGUUCGACGGUGAGGGAUGAAAGCUGGGGGAGCAAACCGGAUUAGAAACCCGGGUAGUCC
rnacentral:rRNA from 1 species